GGUAGAGGAGAAAACCCUGAGCCCUUCUCAGAGGAGCACAGGGCUGACCCCGGAGCAGCUCCUGGGCAUAACUCACUGUCCUGUGAGCCUGGGCUGCUGUGUCAGGGCCUCGUGCUAAGUCAUGGUCACUUCCCAGUCACUGAAGGCUUCUGCUGACGACCCCAUCUGCCUCAGACUAUUUUAGGACUUAGCCCCGUCAGGGAUUCCUUCUACUUAAACGACUGCUGUUUUGUUUUCUUCCCUUUUCUCCCUCUUCAGUCACCUGGUGCCAUGCAGAGAAGGCUUGACCUGGCAAAUCUGAGAUAAGUUUAUUCAGGUUUCUAUUAUGUGAUUCAGUCAUCAUUUCAUAUCUAGAUCUUUGGGGACUUCUUCACUUUUCAUACUAAAGUGGGCUUGGCAGUGGUGAGCAGUGCGCAGGCAGGAUUGUGUUCUAGUGCGUCUCAAAUUUUGAUGUUUACAAACUGCCUGGGAAUUUUGUGAAAAAUGCAAACUCUUAUCCAGGAGGUCUAGGUUAGGGCCCAAGAGUCUCUGUUUUUAAAAAGCUCCCAGGUGAUGCUGAUGCUUCUGGUCCAGCGUCCACACAGUGUGGAUUUUAACUUUGCCUGAACACUAGAAUGACUCGGGGAAUUUAAAAACUACCAUCACCCAGGCUCCGUCCAGACCAGAAUCAACAAGCACAACGUCCAGGACUUUAUAAAUGUGGUUCAUUUGUUGACUUUCCCACUCCCACAGCGGGGACGGCUGAUUCUGAGCUCUGAACUCAUGUAAAAUGAAAGACAUGGAGACAUAGCAGGACAGUUGUGCCUCUCACCAUGCCUUCUCCAAGGGUGACUUCUGGAAGCUGCCCAGGCUGGUCAGCCACCCCGGCUCUUGACUGAUGGAAAAGCACAGUAUGGGCAGGAGAUUGAAGCUGAAGGAAAUGGUACCCUGGCUCUGGGUAGUUUGUUGUUAUUUUCUUCCUCUCUGGGAAGGAACAUGCCCAAUAGUCGCUGUGUGAAGCAGAGGUUCAGAUAUUUGGAAACAAGGAAAGUGAGGAUCUAGCUCCCCGUAAUGGGAUAUUUGAGCGAGAAUCACUCAGCAUGAGAGUUUCGUUCAUCAUGUGGCAAAGGGCUGUGCUGAUGCAAUUUUGGAGACGGAUGCAGUGAAGCUGAAGUGAGCAGUUUUUCUUUGCUUCAGUCUCCUGAUCUGAAGAGAUUCUGUCUCCUUCGAGCUUAAUCUUCGCUUUAUUCACUGCUCUUCUCAGGGGAGCCAAGGAUUUAGUUAAUCAAUUGGCCCUCUCUGGAAGGAGAGGAAAUGGUCUGUCACCACCACUGGAAGGAAUCUUCCCGCCUACCUCGUCCUGCCCCGUUUGUGGAGACAUUCAUUCUGUUGGCGUCUGGGGCUAAUUUAGUGUGUCCAGCCCACUCAUUCCAUUUCAUAGAGCCCAUGGAAGCUGCAAUGAUUGGAAAAGCAAGACUACAUUUUAAAAAUGGCUUCGAGCUUCAGUUGUUUGCGUGUGAAAUGCAGAAUAAUGCAAACUUUUUUCCUCUGCGACUAGCAGAGCAGUUAAUCUUGGCAGUUUUACAUAACAGAGCCUGAAAACAGACCGCCGCCCCACCCCCACCCCCCCCUGUGCAAUUUAUUCGAUGCUUACAAGUUGCCCACUGGGUUUUCAAUGAGAAAGAUAGUUUUGCCUUAAAUAAUUGGAUCAAACGAAAAAACGAGAGUGCUCCUCUGCCAGCAACAAUCUGGAGUCACUUCUGGGGCUGCUACCUGGUUAUUGCUGUGAAGUCGAGCCCAGAAUCACGACCUCUCAGACCCCACUGCAGUAACAGACCUGGUUUUUUCCUGAGAGGAUGAGAUCAGGGCAGGUGGAAGAUGCUCAGCGUGGACUCAGUCCUCUUCAUGCUUUUUUAUUAUCAAAAUAUUUAAGGGGCAAUUUGCAGCCCGGUGUGUGGGCACUUAACCACACGCCUCCUAUUACCACUGAUGGGAUUCCUGCAGCUCGGCCCCUGAGCUUCCAUUUACCCUUUAAUUUAAGAAGUUCUCCUGUCAUGGUGCUAUUAACAGCUGUUUUCUGAGAAAAACAACCAAUACCAAUGCACACACCCUCUUGCAUUUUCCUGUACCUGGGAUACACACCCAUCCGGAAAGCUUCCUCGUUUGACACCAAAUGAUGUGAGAGACUGAAUAUAUGAACAGACAGUGGCUGGGCCAUAUACACAAACAGAACUCUGAUCACAACCGGCAGCAGCCUACGCAGGAAACCAGCCCCUGUCUACAACAAACAGCUCAGGAAGCCUGCCUGCUAUGCCAGGCUUGCACAGAGCCAGAUUGCUCUCUCUGGUGACAAUCCAGGAAGCUAAAUAAUAACUUACGUAACAAUCCACUCAAAAUGGCCAGCUUCCCUAAUUUUUGGCCCUGCUUCCAACUUAGGACCAACCAGAGAAAGCCAAAUAUGCACCCCCAACCAACCCCACAGGACACCCCACUCCCGGUUAGCCCUCCUCCAGCUUCCCCAGGCCAACAGCCUCCAAUUGGGGCACCCCUGGAGCCUUUACUGUAAAGCUCUUCCACCCCUCUGCCUGCCUUUGAGUCUUGGCCAAACGCAAGUGGUGGUGGCUGCCUCCCUCUCUACAGCAAGCUCUGAAUAAACAGCCUUUGCCUAUUCUCAU
ensembl:lncRNA